rnacentral:rRNA from 1 species
GACGAACGCUGGCGGCGUGCCUAAUACAUGCCAGUCGAACGCAUUUUCUUUCACCGUAGCUUGCUACACCGAAAGAAAAUGAGUGGCGAACGGGUGAGUAACACGUGGGUAACCUGCCCAUCAGCGGGGGAUAACACUUGGAAGCAGGUGCUAAUACCGCAUAAUUCCAUUUACUGCAUGGUAGAUGGAUGAAAGGCGCUUUUGCGUCACUGAUGGAUGGACCCGCGGUGCAUUAGCUAGUUGGUGGGGUAACGGCCUACCAAGGCUGCGAUGCAUAGCCGACCUGAGAGGGUGAUCGGCCACACUGGGACUGAGACACGGCCCAGACUCCUACGGGAGGCAGCAGUAGGGAAUCUUCGGCAAUGGACGCAAGUCUGACCGAGCAACGCCGCGUGAGUGAAGAAGGUUUUCGGAUCGUAAAACUCUGUUGUUAGAAAAGAACAAGGAUGAGAGUGGAAAGUUCAUCCCUUGACGGUAUCUAACCAGAAAGCCACGGCUAACUACGU